UGUCGGGGGUGCUGCAAAUGACCGUUGGUUCAAAUGCGGCUGAGAAUAUACCCUAAAACCUGAUCCGGAUAAUACCGGCGGAGGAAAGGCAUGAA
rnacentral:ncRNA from 1 species